rnacentral:rRNA from 1 species
UACAGAGGUCCCAAGCGUUGUUCGGAUUCACUGGGCGUAAAGGGUGCGUAGGCGGUCGGGUAAGUCUGAUGUGAAAUCUCACAGCUUAACUGUGAAACUGCAUUGGAUACUAUCUAGCUUGAGGAGUGGAGGGGGGACUGGAAUUCUCGGUGUAGCAGUGAAAUGCGUAGAUAUCGAGAGGAACACCAGUGGCGAAGGCGAGUCCCUGGACACUUCCUGACACUGAGGCACGAAAGCUAGGGGAGCAAACAGG